UGGUGGAGUGAUUUGUCUGGUUAAUUCCGUUAACGAACGAGACCUCGGCCUGCUAAAUAGUUGAGCGAAUCCUACGGGAUUCGAUCUCUAACUUCUUAGAGGGACUAUCGGUGAUUUAGCCGAUGGAAGUUCGAGGCAAUAACA
rnacentral:rRNA from 1 species